rnacentral:lncRNA from 1 species
GGUAAACUCGCACCUGUUCUACCCAGAAGAGUGGCUCAAGUUCACAUUCAUAAUUUAUUUGUUGAAAGAGUAUCUCCACUUUAUCACAAUCGAGCACUUCCAAUUCUUUCAGAAGUGGCCAGCUUGAACUAAACCUUCUAGAGAAAAAUCUUUUGAGUUGGUGUAAACCGGAGAGUGUAAGAGAGGUAAGGUUAGGGAAUAAGAGUAAAAGUGCUGCUUCAUCUUCAUUUUCAUUGGCAACAAUUGCCUCCACUCCACUUUCCGAUAUAUAUAGGUCCUCAAGUUGCACAAGAGCACUCGCCACAGAAACCGGAAAAAGGUUUAGCAAUUUGUUGCAUCCCCUUACUUGCAAUUUCCUUAAUUUGGAAAAUGAAUUUGCUGGAAGUUGGUCAGACCACAAUGCUCUUAUAUUAUCUAGUCCGCGUACAGACAAGGACUCCAAACCUGGGAGUGCAACCUGUGCAAUUGAUGAUCCCUUUAGUUAAUAAUAUAUACAUAUACAUUCCUAAUAAUUAGACACAUGUAAAUAGAAAAUAAGAGGUUAAAGGAGAAUAUAUCAGUAUAACAAAGCACAAAAUUUAAACUAGAUUCAAGAAGAUCAAGAAAGAGAAAAGAAAAGAAAAAGCCUCCAGAUUUUGAAGAUACAAUGAAACUUAACAAAAAAAAAAAAAAACCACCAAAUUUUCCUUUCGAAAUGAGGUAAUAAGAGGAUUUUUUUUUUUUCUUUUUUCUUUGCCUCUCUUUCAAAUUUGAUUAACUUCUAUGGAAAACGUAUUUUAACUAGUUAUGGAAAACAUAUUUUUUUUUUAAAAAACUUUUCUAUAAGAUACAAGUAAUACUUUAAAAAAAUUGUGAUAUCUAAAAAAUUUUUUGAAAAAUUAUUUUUAAAGAAAUAAGGUAAAUCUAUACUUUUUGUAUAAGAUGUUCUACCUUUAUAUACAAAUUUCUGAUUUUUUUUUUAAAAGUGUAUCCAAAUGGACACUAAACUAUCUAGUUUUUAAUUGUUACAACUUUGAAUUGGAUUUUAUGGUAAACUAAUUUACAAGUUAAUGCAUGGAUUCAUCUUAGAUUCCAUCUAUAAAUUUUUUUAAUUAUCUAAUAUAAGACAUUAUAUUAAUGGGUUGAAUUAAUAAUGUAAUUAUAAUUUAUUUGGCAAGUUUCUUCCUUCAAAUAUAUAAAAUGAAAAUAAAUUUUAAAAAAUAAAAAAAAUGAAAAAAAUAAAAAAUAAAAAAAGAUUUUUUUUAUAGUUUUUCUAAGAUGAUUUUGUAGAGUACUGUUAGUUUAUAGUUUUAACUUUAUUUCAUUUUACUUUUAACUUUAUUUAUUGAGGUAUGUUCUUUUUUGAAACUCUUGUUUAGAUUUUAUAGAGGAUAUAAAUUUUCAGAAAAAAAAAAUUAAAUUUAAAUAAAAUAGGAAUAAAGAAAGGCAAAAGGUGGAUGAAUUUUUUUAAGGCAAAAGUUUGAUAACUUGGCACUAUCAUGUAAUGGGUGAAAUUUUUAAAUACUCAACAAAGGCUAGUGAAAUUUAAAUUAAAAGCUUGACAUGUACCUUUUCGACCAAAAUCUUUGGAGUUGGUGUAAAGUUUUGAGUAUGAGAGAGGUUAGUCUAGGGAAUAUUAUUGCACAUUAGUUCAAAUAAAACAUCAACAUUUUUUUUUUUGUUAAAUUCUAAAUGAACACCACUAUAAAUUAAUGCGAUUUGUAUGCUCAAUUAAAUAAACUCGUUCUUAAGGCAUCACAUGAAGUGUUUAAGUCUAAUUAAUAUUAAUUAAAAAUGAUUAUUUUAAAAAAAUCCAAAGUAAUUUAUUUUUAUCAUAAGUCAAGUAGGAUAGUUUUAUAAAUAAUUGGUUCUAGUUUCUAGUAUUAUUGUACACAAUCGCUAUGUUUGUUGCACCUCCAAAAAAUCUACUACUUGUAAUUAAUUGUAUAUUAUUCUCCAUAUUCACAUCAGUUUAUGUAGUAUGAUUAAUUUAGCAACAAAAUAUAAGUUUACUUGAAAUCGCUUUAAAUUCCUAUGAUAUUAAAGUUUAAGAUUAAAACAAUGUAACAUUAGCCAAAAAGACUAAGAUCUAUAAUGUAACAUAUAAAAUUUAGAAAAUUCAAGGAAGGGUAAACUCGCACCUGUUCUACCCAGAAGAGUGGCUCAAGUUCACAUUCAGAAUUUAUUUGUUGAAAGAGUAUCUCCACUUUAUCACAAUCGAGCACUUCCAAUUCUUUCAGAAGUGGCCAGCUUGAACUAAACCUUCUAGAGCAAAAUCUUUUGAGUUGGUGUAAACCGGAGAGUGUGAGAGAGGUAAGGUUAGGGAAUGAGAGUAAAGGUGCUGCUUCAUCUUCAUUUUCAUUGGCAACAAUUGCCUCCACUCCACUCUCCGAUAUAUAAAGGUCCUCAAGUUGCACAAGAGCACUCGCCACAGAAACCGGAAAAAGGUUUAGCAAUUUGUUGCAUCCCCUUACUUGCAAUUUCCUUAAUUUGGAAAAUGAAUUUGCUGGAAGUUGGUCAGGCCACAAUGCUCUUAUAUUAUCUAGUCCGCGUACAGACAAGGACUCCAAACCUGGGAGUGCAACCUGUGCAAUUGAUGAUCCCUUUAGUUAAUAAUAUAUACAUAUACAUUCCUAAUAAUUAGACACAUGUAAAUAGAAAAUAAGAGGUUAAAGGAGAAUAUAUCAGUAUAACAAAGCACAAAAUUUAAACUCUAUUCAAGAAGAUCCAGAAAGAGAAAAGAAAACGCCUUUUGAUUUUGAAGAUCCAAUGAAACUUUAAAAAAAAAAAAAAAAACCUCCAAAUUUUGCUUUCCAAAUGAGGUAAUAGGAGGAUAUUUUUAUUUUAUUUUUUCUUUGCCUCUCUUUCAAAUUUGAUUAACUUCCAUGGAAAACGUAUUUUAACUAGCCAUGGAAAAUGGAUUUUUUUUUUAAAACUUUUAUAUAAGAUACAAGAACUCUUAGAGGGUUACAUUAUGUAAGUAAUACUUUAAAAAAAAUGUUUAAAAAUAUUGUGAUAUCCAAAAAUUUUACUACCUCGGAUUUUAAAUUUUAAAAAAAUUAUUUUUAAAGAAAUAAGGUAAAUCUAUACUUUUUCGUAUAAGAUAUUCUACCUUUAUAUACAAAUUUCUGAUUUUUUUUUUAAAGUGUAUCCAAAUGGACACUAAACUAUCUAGUUUCGAAUUUUUACAACUUUGAAUUGGAUUUUAUGGUAAACUAAUUGACAAUAUAACGCAUGGAUUCAUCUUAGAUUCCAUCUAUAAAUUUUUUAAUUAUCUAAUAUAAGACAUUAUAUUAAUGGGUUGAAUUAAUAAUGUAAUUAUAAUUUAUUUGGCAACUUUCUUCCUUCAAAUAUAUAAGACGAAAAUAUAUUUUAAAAAAUAAAAAAGAAUGAUAAAAAAUAGAAAAUAAAAAUAGCUUAUUUUAUUGUUUUUCUAAGAUGAUUUUGUAGAGUGUUAGUUUAUAGUUUAACUUUAUUUCAUUUUACUUUUAACAUUAUUUAUUGAGGUAUGUUCUUUUUUGAAACUCUUGUUUAGAUUUUAUAGAGAAUAUAAAUUUUAAGAAAAAAAAUGAAAUUUAAAUAAAAUAAGAAUAAAGAAAGGCAAAAGGUGGAUGAAUUUUUUGAAGGCAAAAGUUUGAUAAUUUGGCACUGUCAUGUAAUGGGUGAAAUUUUUAAAUACUCAACAAAGGCUAGUGAAAUUUAAAUUAAAACCUUGACAUGUACCUUUUCGACCAAAAUCUUUGGAGUUGGUGUAAAGUUUUGAGUAUGAGAGAGGUUAGUCUAGGGAAUAUUAUUGCACAUUAGUUCAAAUAAAACAUCAACAUUUUUUUUUGUUAAAUUCUAAAUGAACACCACUAUAAAUUAAUGCGAUUUUGUAUGCUCAAUUAAAUAAACUCGUUCUUAAGGCAUCACAUGAAGUGUUUAAGUCUAAUUAAUAUUAAUUAAAAAUGAUUAUAUCAAAAAAAAUCCAAAGUAAUUUUUUUUUAUCAUAAGUCAAGUAGGAUAGUUUUAUAAAUAAUUGGUUCUAGUUUCUAGUAUUAUUGUACACAAUCGCUAUGUUUGUUGCACCUCCAAAAAAUCUACUACUUGUAAUUAAUUGUAUAUUAUUCUCCAUAUUCACAUCAGUUUAUGUAGUAUGAUUAAUUUAGCAACAAAAUAUAAGUUUACUUGAAAUCGCUUUAAAUUCCUAUGAUAUUAAAGUUUAAGAUUAAAACAAUGUAACAUUAGCCAAAAAGACUAAGAUCUAUAAUGUAACAAAUAAAAUUUAGAAAAUUCAAGGCAGGGUAAACUCGCACCUGUUCUACCCAGAAGAGUGGCUCAAGUUCACAUUCAGAAUUUAUUUGUUGAAAGAGUAUCUCCACUUUAUCACAAUCGAGCACUUCCAAUUCUUUCAGAAGUAGCCAGCUUGAACUAAACCUUCUAGAGCAAAAUCUUUUGAGUUGGUGUAAACCGGAGAGUGUGAGAGAGGUAAGGUUAGGGAAUAAGAGUAAAGGUGCUGCUUCAUCUUCAUUUUCAUUGGCAACAAUUGCCUCCACUCCACUCUCCGAUAUAUAUAGGUCCUCAAGUUGCACAAGAGCACUCGCCACAGAAACCCGAAAAAGGUUUAGCAAUUUGUUGAAUCCCCUUACAUGCAAUUUCCUUAAUUUGGAAAAUGAAUUUGUUGGAAGUUGGUCAGGCCACAAUGCUCUUAUAUUAUCCAGUCCGCAUACAUACAAGGACUCCAAGCCUUGGAGUGCAACCUGUGCAAUUGAUAAUCCCUUUGGUUAAUAAUAUAUACAUAUACAUUCCUAAUGAUUAGACACAUGUAAAUAGAAAAUAAGAGGUUAAAGGAGAAUAUAUCAGUAUAACAAAGCACAAAAUUUAAACUAGAUUAAAGAAGAUCAAGAAAGAGAAAAGAAAAGAAAAAGCCUCCAGAUUUUGAAGAUACAAUGAAACUUAAAAAAAAAAAAAAAAAACCUCCAAAUUUUCCUUUCGAAAUGAGGUAAUAAGAGGAUUUUUUUUUUCUUUUUUCUUUGCCUCUCUUUCAAAUUUGAUUAACUUCUAUGGAAAACGUAUUUUAACUAGUUAUGGAAAACGGAUUUUUUUUUUUAAAAACUUUUAUAUAAGAUACAAGUAAUACUUUAAAAAAAUUGUGAUAUCUAAAAAAUUUUUUGAAAAAUUAUUUUUAAAGAAAUAAGGUAAAUCUAUACUUUUUGUAUAAGAUGUUCUACCUUUGUAUUCAAAUUUCUGAUUUUUUUUUUUUAAAGUGUAUCCAAAUGCACACUAAACUAUCUAGUUUUUAAUUGUUACAACUUUGAAUUGGAUUUUAUGGUAAACUAAUUUACAAGUUAAUGCAUAGAUUCAUCUUAGAUUCCAUCUAUAAAUUUUUUUAAUUAUCUAAUAUAAGACAGUAUAUUAAUGGGUUGAAUUAAUAAUGUAAUUAUAAUUUAUUUGGCAACUUUCUUCCUUCAAAUAUAUAAAAUGAAAAUAAAUUUUAAAAAAUAAAAAAUAAAAAAAAGAUUUUUUUUAUAGUUUUUCUAAGAUGAUUUUGUAGAGUUCUGUUAGUUUAUAGUUUUCACUUUAUUUAUUGAGGUAUGUUCUUUUUUGAAACUCUUGUUUAGAUUUUAUUGAGAAUAUAAAUUUUAAGAAAAAAAAUAAAAUUUAAAUAAAAUAAGAAUAAAGAAAGGCAAAAGCUGGAUGAAUUUUUUUAAGGCAAAAGUUUGAUAAUUUGGCACUCUCAUGUAAUGGGUGAAAUUUUUAAAUACUCAACAAAGGCUAGUGAAAUUUAAAUUAAAACCAUGACAUGUACCUUUUAGACCAAAAUCUUUGGAGUUGGUGUAAUGUUUUGAGUAUGAGAGAGGUUAGUCUAGGGAAUAUUAUUGCACAUUAGUUCAAAUAAAACAUCAACAUUUUUUUUUGUUAAAUUCUAAAUGAACACCACUAUAAAUUAAUGCGAUUUUGUAUGCUCAAUUAAAUAAACUCGUUCUUAAGGCAUCACAUGAAGUGUUUAAGUCUAAUUAAUAUUAAUUAAAAAUGAUUAUAGUAAAAAAAAUCCAAAGUAAUUUUUUUUUAUCAUAAGUCAAGUAGGAUAGUUUUAUAAAUAAUUGGUUCUAGUUUCUAGUAUUAUUGUAGACAAUCGCUAUGUUUGUUGCACCUCCAAAAAAUCUACUACUUGUAAUUAAUUGUAUAUUAUUCUCCAUAUUCACAUCAGUUUAUGUAGUAUGAUUAAUUUAGCAACAAAAUAUAAGUUUACUUGAAAUGGCUUUAAAUUCCUAUGAUAUUAAAGUUUAAGAUUAAAACAAUGUAACAUUAGCAAAAAAGAUUAAGAUCUAUAAUGUAACAAAUAAAAUUUAGAAAAUUCAAGGCAGGGUAAACUCGCACCUGUUCUACCCAGAAGAGUGGCUCAAGUUCACAUUCAGAAUUUAUUUGUUGAAAGAGUAUCUCCACUUUAUCACAAUCGAGCACUUCCAAUUCUUUCAGAAGUAGCCAGCUUGAACUAAACCUUCUAGAGCAAAAUCUUUUGAGUUGGUGUAAACCGGAGAGUGUGAGAGAGGUAAGGUUAGGGAAUAAGAGUAAAGGUGCUGCUUCAUCUUCAUUUUCAUUGGCAACAAUUGCCUCCACUCCACUCUCUGAUAUAUAUAGGUCCUCAAGUUGCACAAGAGCACUCGCCACAGAAACCCGAAAAAGGUUUAGCAAUUUGUUGAAUCCCCUUACAUGCAAUUUCCUUAAUUUGGAAAAUGAAUUUGUUGGAAGUUGGUCAGGCCACAAUGCUCUUAUAUUAUCCAGUCCGCAUACAUACAAGGACUCCAAGCCUGGGAGUGCAACCUGUGCAAUUGAUAAUCCCUUUGGUUAAUAAUAUAUACAUAUACAUUCCUAAUAAUUAGACACAUGUAAAUAGAAAAUAAGAGGUUAAAGG